GUGUGUGGAUGGUGUUCAGCACAAGAGAAAAGUGUGUUUACCUGUGUAUGGAUGGUGUUUAGCACCAGGGACAAAUGUGUUUACCU
rnacentral:pre_miRNA from 1 species